rnacentral:rRNA from 1 species
CCCUAGUAACGGCGAGUGAAGCGGCAACAGCUCAAAUUUGAAAUCUGGCCCUUUCAGGGUCCGAGUUGUAAUUUGUAGAGGGUGCUUUGGCGUUGGCUGUGGUCUAAGUUCCUUGGAACAGGACGUCGCAGAGGGUGAGAAUCCCGUAUGUGGCCGCCAGUCUUCGCCGUGUAAAGCCCCUUCGACGAGUCGAGUUGUUUGGGAAUGCAGCUCUAAAUGGGAGGUAAAUUUCUUCUAAAGCUAAAUAUUGGCCAGAGACCGAUAGCGCACAAGUAGAGUGAUCGAAAGAUGAAAAGCACUUUGGAAAGAGAGUCAAAAAGCACGUGAAAUUGUUGAAAGGGAAGCGCUUGCAGCCAGACUUGCCUGUAGUUGCUCAUCCGGGCUUUUGCCCGGUGCACUCUUCUAUG